GGUCACCAGGGUGAUCUGGUUGUGAUGCCUGUCACCCCAUGGUCACCAAGGUGGAAACAACUGAUCUGGCUACCUAGUAUGAUGUUCCUUUCUCCCCUUUGAUCCAUGUGUGUCCCUCCCAAUGCUACACACUCUGUCCAAGAAGACAACAUCCCCAGGUAGAAAGGAAAUAUUCUUCAGACAAAGGUCCAUGAGUAUUUGGACUCCCCUCUUAGACCCCCCCGCUCAAACAAGUCCUGAAAUAAAUGACUCUGGUUCAU
rnacentral:sRNA from 1 species